UAAUUCUGACCUUCAGUUGCUACCAGUCCACUCAGUCCAGGCCCGGUGAGGCGAGUACAGAUAGUCAUAAAAAAACAACAACUUGUAAAGGUCAAAAUUCAAGGUCUGCUGCUCAUUACUAAGAAAUAGCACCAGAAACCCUCCUCGUUUGCAUAAAACAUUUCGUGCUGAGACCUGAAACGUCCUGAAAACAAAGGCAAGUUUAACCUCCAGGCAAACAUCAAGAAGGGAAAACUGCCUCCAAAGGAUAUUCCCUGUAAAGAUAACACACUGCGUGGGAACGUCUAUAUGAAGAAGACAGGAGCACCAUAAAGCUCAGUUCCAUCAGUGUUGUGAAACACCUCUCCCCAUUUCUUCAGAUAGUCUUGAUACUCAAAGACUUCUUCUUGCCACUGGAUUUGUGACAUGCAAAGGAUUGCUGUCUGUAAAGCCACUCAGCCCUCGUGAAAAAACAAAGCCUGUUCUGUCCUUGCAUUAGCAGACAGUCUGAUGCAUAAACUUCUGUAAGCACUGUUCUUUUGUUAUUAUUUGCAGAAGCUGCAAUAAGUCUCUUAUGUAUCUUCCAAGCCUUGGCCAUGAAGAAAUAGUUACCCUACCUGUUGGCCAAACAGCUGCUGUAAUUUGAUUCCUGCUCUUUUCUUUUUGGUUCCUGUUCUCCUGGAGAAUCACUAGUUCUUGCUGAAAUUUGUAUUGUGCCUGUUUUUGUUAAUUCAUCAGAUGCCAAUGAACUGGUUCCUCAUUCUGUUUGACCAGCUGUUUCAUAUAAUCUGUUGUUACAACUGGAUUUAAAAAUCUCCCAGGAGGAGCGUAAUAACUCAAAUGUGUCAGAUCUGCAGUAAUUCAUGAAAGAUGCUUAGUAUGUGGAAAUCCACAUUUCUUAAAUGCAAGGAUCAAGAUAUCAGCCCUAUUGUCGAAACCAAGAUGGGACUUUCAAUGUAACCCACUUGUCACUUACAAUUCCCCUGUUCCCCUUCAUAUUACUGUGUAGCCUAAAUUUUUCUGUGUUUGCCCUGUCCACAGCUCAAUAUAUUUCCUUUUAAGAGAGAAAAAAAAUCUGUUCAGAUAGAACCAAAUGAUCAGAACAAUUAAGAAAAUCACUCAGAUCCUCUUUGUACGUGUGUAACUCAAGAAAUGUUUUGUUUAAAGUCACACAUUUGGCAUGUGUCUAAGAGGAAUGUGCAGUUUGCAUUGAUAUAAGAAAUAUGGUAAUGAAUGUUUGAACAUUUUCUACUUUGUAAUUUGUAAUUGUCUUCACUGGUUUAGCAAUAAGUAUAUAAGUAUAAUGUUGAGAAGGUUUUUAGUUAUAGUAAUUUGACUGCAACACAGCCCCUUUUGUUAUCUUACUUGACUUAGGAAUUACAUAAGAUGUCAUUUGGAAACCACUGUCUAGCAUUAUACAAAGUCAAAUGCAUAUACCGUGAAGAGAGCCUCAACAUUUUCUUUAUAAAAGCUAUGGCUCAGUGCCUUUUCCCUGCGGCACAUUCUCACCUGCUAAACAGCUCCAUUUAAAAUAGUUCAUACUAAUAGGCAUAAACUACAAUGUGCAAAAACAGAUUUUCAACUUUAUUCUGGUACUUACGAGAAAUAUAGUUAAGUGUAAUCAGAGAGACAGCAAUCGGUUCUUUCAUUAAAAAAAAAAAAAAAAAGAGUAAUUCCCUGAUAAUAUAAAGCAGUAUUGCAUCACUGAAUCCUGAGUUCCAUCACUUUAGACUUAGGAUUCUACUGGUCUCAAUAUAUGUGGUACCACUCAGCAUUCACAGCUUGGUAGCAUGAUGGCAGUGGAGAUCCCUGUAUUGCAAAGUUGGACUCACAGGCUGGCUUAAAGCACACUUCUCAUCCAUGCUAAAUGGACAUAGAAUCAUAGAAUCACAGAACCAUUUGAGUUGGAAAGGACUCCUAAAGGCCACCUGGUCCAACUCCCCUGCAAUGAGCAGGGACACCUACAGCUCCAUCAGGUGCUCAGAGCCCCAUCCAUCCUGACCUUGAGUAUCUCCAGGGAUGGAGCAUCCACUGUCUCUCUGGUCAACCUGUCUCAUGCCCUUCUUGGAGAAACCACACUUGGGCUGUUUGUUUGAUACCUGGCCUGUGAUAUGCUUUGUACUUCUGCAUACAGCUAGCUCACUGAAAGAAGAAUGUGGGCUCCAGCUCCAGCCACUGACCUUCAAACUCUUCUGCUUUAGGGAGUCAGAAGUCCACCUCUGCUGCCAUGUGUAUGCAAACAGUGUGGGCAGAGGGCAAGACUAGACUUCAGAACAGACUCCAAGCCAGAGAGCAACACAGAGACUGAUACUGGCUCUUCAGUCAUAUGAGACUCCUCGGGCAACGCUGGAUGAUUGGAGAAGCAGAACUUUUAUUAGCAUACCCAGGGGCCGGCCAGCUGGAUGCUAUGUUUGACACUGUUCUCACACGGGAGGAGGUUAUCAGGAAGAAGAAAUGAAGUACAUAAGCUGAGUCCCCAUAAAGACCUGCACAGUACAGCCUAACAAAAGAUGCGAAUAUGACGUAAUUCAUGUUCAGAAAGUUCCCCUGCAGGAUGGAGGGCUGUCAUUUUUUCC